rnacentral:rRNA from 1 species
CAGCAGCCGCGGGAAAACGUAGGUGGCAAGCGUUGUCCGGAAUUAUUGGGCGUAAAGGGCUCGCAGGCGGUUUCUUAAGUCUGAUGUGAAAGCCCCCGGCUCAACCGGGGAGGGUCAUUGGAAACUGGGAAACUUGAGUGCAGAAGAGGAGAGUGGAAUUCCACGUGUAGCGGUGAAAUGCGUAGAGAUGUGGAGGAACACCAGUGGCGAAGGCGACUCUCUGGUCUGUAACUGACGCUGAGGAGCGAAAGCGUGGGGAGCGAACAGGAUUAGAUACCCGCGUAGUCCCUGUCUCUUAUAC